ACUUUAACAGAAAUGGCGACAAAAUCGCUGUUCUUCCAAACCACGAUUUCUCUGACGCAUCUCCAAUGGCGUAGCAAUGCCAAUGCGCUCUGCCGCCGAACAUUCGCGCGACCUCCUCUUCUUCUACGGCCUCAUCAUACUUGUCUUCUUCCUCCUCCGCAGCACCGUCGUCUUCGUCUUCGUCUUCGUCUUCCUCCUCCUCCUCUGCUCCGACGCCGUCUACGCACUCUAUUCUCUACUACGGGAGCCAGGCCUCUGUGAAAACAGUAACCGAUUUCUCAAUUUCAUUAAUAGAUUUCUGUUCCGUUCUAAUUUGGUGUUUGAAUCAGGUGAGAGUGGUGAUAAGGGGAGAGUGCAAGGUGUGUCGGAUCUAUCGGAAUUGGACGAUUGAUAAUGCGAAGGAGUUAGGGUUGAAAGGUUGGGUUCGGAACCGCCGGGAUGGAUCUGUGGAGGCGUUGUUUUCGGGAGAUGGAGCAGCGGAGCGGAGUAGGAGAGGUCCGCCUGAUGCUAUGGUGACUGGGCAUUUCCGAGCACGGAUGAUCCUGGGAGCGUAAGCCUACUGUGUGAGUGAAUGAAUCAGCGAUUCUGAUCAGGAUCACGAUCAGACGCAGACAGCGCAAGACAACGACGACGACGGCCGGUUUCCGGGAGAGGCAGGACACUAGGUGGCACCAAUCAAGCAGCUUCGAUUUGAUUACAAAUUCCGAUUCUACACGACAAACCAGACUACUGGAUGACGACAGAAGCCUCGAUCCAGAAACAUUUGGCGGAAGGCCACUGGUGUCGAAUAGUGCUGCAGUGCCGAGCAGAAAUCAAAACAAUCCGGCCCCGAGCGCCGUUGCAUCCGAAGACGAUAUUCAGAAACUAGUUGCGAUGGGUUUUGAGAGGACACAGGUGGAAGUCGCAAUAGCAGCUGCCGACGGAGACCUGAAUGUCACGGCGGAAAUACUCAUGACCCAACAGAGUUAGACGAAGAAGGAAUACCUGCCGGAAAAAGAACUCCCGACCGGUUCCCCGGCGGCGCUAUGUUUUUGGGAGGGGCAGUUGUUUGAAGGCAUUUCCAUCUUUGAAAACAAAUUUUUAUAUAUAACUAACAGUUAACCGACGUUGAUGAAUUGUAAUUAUGUAUGUCAAAAUUUGUGAUGUAAAGAAAUUGAAACUAUUUUGUUAUGAGAUUUUAUCAGCCUUCCGAUAUAUAAACUAAUAUUUCUCCAUUC